rnacentral:rRNA from 1 species
GGGCUAGAAUGUGAAGGAAUGAUACAGAGAUGUGUCAGUCAGCAAUGACCUGAAACAAGGUGCUGCAUGGCUGUCGUCAGCUCGUGCCGUGAGGUGUUGGGUUAAGUCCCGCAACGAGCGCAACCCUGUUGUCAGUUGCCAUCGAGUAAAGUUGGGGACUACUGGACAAGACUGCCGCGCAAGCGGAGAGGAAGGAGGGGACGACGUCAAGUCAUCAUGGCCCUUACGCCCGGGGCGACACACGUGCUACAAUGGCGCAUACAGCGGGUAGCUACCUGGCAACAGGAUGCCAACCUCUAAAAGUGCGUCUCAGUUCGGAUCGGGGUCUGCAACCCGACCCCGUGAAGCUGGAAUCGCUAGUAAUCGCGCAUCAGCCACGGCGCGGUGAAUACGUUCCCGGACCUU